AGAGGUGGCAAGCGUUGUUCGGAAUUACUGGGCGUAAAGGGCGCGUAGGCGGUUCGUUAAGUCCUGUGUGAAAUCCCCCGGGCUCAACCUGGGAACUGCAUCCGAAACUGCCUUGCUCGAGUAUGGGAGAGGGAAGUGGAAUUUCCGGUGUAGCGGUGAAAUGCGUAGAUAUCGGAAGGAACAUCAGUGGCGAAGGCGACUUCCUGGACCAAUACUGACGCUCAGGUGCGAAAGCGUGGGGAGCAAACAGGAUUAGAUACCCUGGUAGUCCACGCCCUAAACGAUGAGAACUGGAUGUCGGGAGGGUCUGCCUUCCGGUGUCGUAGCUAACGCGUUAAGUUCUCCGCCUGGGAAGUACGGCCGCAAGGUUG
rnacentral:rRNA from 1 species